rnacentral:rRNA from 1 species
AAUGAACGUUGGCGGCGUGGAUUAGGCAUGCAAGUCGAGCGAGAAUUUGCGAUUGGAAGCUUCGGCCGAAGAAAGUGAAGGAAAGCGGCAAACGGCGUAGUAAGGCGUAGGUACGUACCCUCGGGUCGGGAAUAGCCAUGGGAAACUGUGGGUAAUGCCCGAUAAUCUCUGCGGAGCAAAGGUGUGAUUCCGCCGGAGGAGCGGCUUACGUGAUAUUAGCUAGUUGGUGGGGUAAUGGCCUACCAAGGCAACGAUGUCUAGGGGGUGUGAGAGCAUGGCCCCCACGACCGGAACUGAGACACUGUCCGGACACCUACGGGUGGCUGCAGUCGAGAAUCUUCCGCAAUGGGCGAAAGCCUGACGGAGCGACGCCGCGUGGUGGAUGAAGGCCCUUGGGUUGUAAACACCUGUCAGAGGGGAUGAAAUCAUGGUUGGCAAUCCUUCCAUGUUGACAGAGCCUCAGAGGAAGCACGGGCUAAGUACGUGCCAGCAGCCGCGGUAA